GUGGGGAAUUUUGGACAAUGGGCGGAAGCCUGAUGCAGCAACGCCGCGUGAGGGAUGACGGCCUUCGGGUUGUAAACCUCUUUUAGCAGGGAAGAAGCGAAAGUGACGGUACCUGCAGAAAAAGCGCCGGCUAACUACGUGCCAGCAGCCGCGGUAAUACGUAGGGCGCAAGCGUUAUCCGGAAUUAUUGGGCGUAAAGAGCUCGUAGGCGGUUUGUCGCGUCUGCUGUGAAAACCCGAGGCUCAACCUCGGGCCUGCAGUGGGUACGGGCAGACUAGAGUGCGGUAGGGGAGAUUGGAAUUCCUGGUGUAGCGGUGGAAUGCGCAGAUAUCAGGAGGAACACCGAUGGCGAAGGCAGAUCUCUGGGCCGUAACUGACGCUGAGGAGCGAAAGGGUGGGGAGCAAACAGGCUUAGAUACCCCAGUAGUCC
rnacentral:rRNA from 1 species